AUGGUGAGUGAUGUCAGAAAACAUGCAGGGCAAAGGAAUAUGAAGAAAGAGGUCAACAAGAUGACUACUGAGCAGAUAAAAGUCCUGGCUGAUAAGUUGAGGAUGAUCCCUGGCUUCACAAGGAAUAACUUCAGGAGUUGCAGAGUAAAGCUGAUGGAAAAGGGCCUCUUCAUGGACUAUUCUAGAACAAACCAGGAAAAGGGAACACAGGAAAGAAUGAACGGUAUGGAUCAUACCUGAUCCAGGUGAUUUGGAUGUACAGUUACAUGGACUCCAGGAGUCUUUUCUCAAGAGAAAAAUGAUCACUCUUGGGGUAGAAUUGCCUCACCUGAAGUGGGGGAGGGGAGGUUGAAGGUAUUUCUUCUCUUCUCCGAGUCAAGAACUGAUGACCUAGACAAACACCUUGACCAAAACAGGUCACUUGGUACUUUAAAUUAUAUGAUUUAUACAAACUCUUACAAGACUUGCAGCUGUUCUUUUGGGUGCUUUUGGAAGAGGUUUCUUCACCCACUCACCUCCAAAAGGGGGUCCUUAAAAUGUAGCAAAAUGAGGUAUAGGGAUUGAGACAAAGACCAAAGAGCCAUUUUAGAGAGGAUAACCUCAGGAUGAUUGAGGAAAACAAAUGGAGUUAAUGUCAAAAUUCUGUAAACUCAGAUGUUUACAAAGAGAGCUAAAUGAAUAGAAUAAUAGAGACAAAAAAGAACUCUGCAUUACCACAAUGCUUCCAAAUUAUUUCUUUUUACCUUGAGGCUAUCCAAUUUUUUUUUUCUACUCCCUUGCUUCUGAGUUUACUGGUAGAUGUGAGCCAAUUCUCACACGAUUGUCUUAUUAAAACGAUUCCUCUCACAGCACAAUUGGGGGGAAAUUAAUCAAAGAACCCAGUUCUUCAAUCCAAGCUGUCACAUAACCCACAAAGCCUACAAAUGGGAAUUUCCAUUCAAGUAGUUGCAAAACAGUCUUUAAUACUUCAUAUUGUCUAUUGAUGGUCAGCUUCUUUCUUCAGUCAAACAGAACAAUCUUGUUUUCUCUAAUGAGAAGAAAAUUAAGUUAUAUCUUAAAAGAAGGGGUUUAUUGUUUGUCUUUAGACAAUAGACACUAGAUACCACAGUGUAAUGAAAUAAAUGCAAGGAGGAAGGCGAAUUUCUCA
rnacentral:lncRNA from 1 species